rnacentral:rRNA from 1 species
GUAGGUGGCAAGCGUUGUCCGGAAUUAUUGGGCGUAAAGCGCGCGCAGGCGGUUCUUUAAGUCUGAUGUGAAAGCCCACGGCUCAACCGUGGAGGGUCAUUGGAAACUGGAGAACUUGAGUACAGAAGAGGAAGGCGGAAUUCCACGUGUAGCGGUGAAAUGCGUAGAGAUGUGGAGGAACACCAGUGGCGAAGGCGGCUUUCUGGUCUGUAACUGACGCUGAGGCGCGAAAGCGUGGGGGAGCAAACAGGAUUAGAUACCCUGGUAGUCCACGCCGUAAACGAUGAGUGCUAAGUGUUAGGGGGUUUCCGCCCCUUAGUGCUGCAGCUAACGCAUUAAGCACUCCGCCUGGGAGUACGGCCGCAAGGCUG